GACGAACGCUGGCGGCGUGCUUAACACAUGCAAGUCGAGCGGUAAGGCCCUUUCGGGGGUACACGAGCGGCGAACGGGUGAGUAACACGUGGGUGACCUGCCCUUAGCUCUGGGAUAAGCCUGGGAAACUGGGUCUAAUACCGGAUAUGACUCCAUGACGCAUGUUGUGGGGUGGAAAGCCUUGUGCGGCUAGGGGAUGGGCCCGCGGCCUAUCAGCUUGUUGGUGGGGUGAUGGCCCACCAAGGCGACGACGGGUAGCCGGCCUGAGAGGGCGACCGGCCACACUGGGACUGAGACACGGCCCAGACUCCUACGGGAGGCAGCAGUGGGGAAUCUUGCGCAAUGGGCGAAAGCCUGACGCAGCGACGCCGCGUGAGGGAUGACGGCCU
rnacentral:rRNA from 1 species